UACGGAGGAUGCGAGCGUUAUCCGGAUUUAUUGGGUUUAAAGGGUGCGUAGGCGGGCUGUUAAGUCAGCGGUAAAAGCCCGGGGCUCAACCCCGGCGAGCCGUUGAAACUGGCUGUCUUGAGAUGUCGAGAGGUAUGCGGAAUGCGCAGUGUAGCGGUGAAAUGCUUAGAUAUUGCGCAGAACUCCGAUAGCGAAGGCAGCUUACCAGACUGCGACUGACGCUGAAGCACGAGAGCGUGGGUAGCGAACAGG
rnacentral:rRNA from 1 species